rnacentral:rRNA from 1 species
GACGAACGCUGGCGGCGUGCUUAACACAUGCAAGUCGAACGAUGAAGCCGGAGCUUGCUCCGGUGGAUUAGUGGCGAACGGGUGAGUAACACGUGAACAAUCUGCCCUUGACUCUGGGAUAACUGCGGGAAACUGUAGCUAAUACCGGAUACGACACCUUGGGGCAUCCCAGGGUGUGGAAAGAAUUUCGGUCAAGGAUGAGCUCGCGGCCUAUCAGCUAGUUGGUGAGGUAAUGGCUCACCAAGGCGACGACGGGUAGCCGGCCUGAGAGGGUGACCGGCCACACUGGAACUGAGACACGGUCCAGACUCCUACGGGAGGCAGCAGUGGGGAAUAUCGCACAGUGGGCGAAAGCCUGAUGCAGCAACGCCGCGUGAGGGAUGAAGGCCUUCGGGUUGUAAACCUCUUUUAGCAGGGAAGAAGCGAAAGUGACGGUACCUGCAGAAAAAGCACCGGCUAACUACGUGCCAGCAGCCGCAGUAA